rnacentral:rRNA from 1 species
GAUGAACGCUGGCGGCGUGCCUAAUACAUGCAAGUCGAACGCAUUGUGGUUGAAAUGAUAUGAAGAACUUGUUCAGAUUUGAUUUUCAACAUUGCAAUGAGUGGCGAACGGGUGAGUAACACGUGGGAAACCUACCUCUUAGCAGGGGAUAACAUUUGGAAACAAAUGCUAAUACCGUAUAAAUAAUUAAAACCGCAUGGUUUUAGUUUAAAAGAUGGUCUUGCUAUCACUAAGAGAUGGUCCCGCGGUGUAUUAGUUAGUUGGUGAGGUAAUGGCUCACCAAGACAAUGAUACAUAGCCGAGUUGAGAGACUGACCGGCCACAAUGGGACUGAGACACGGCCCAUACUCCUACGGGAGGCAGCAGUAGGGAAUCUUCCACAAUGGACGAAAGUACUGAUGGAGCAACGCCGCGUGUGUGAUGAAGGGUUUCGGCUCGUAAAACACUGUUGUAAGAGAAGAAUGACAUUGAGAGUAACUGUUCAAUGUGUGACGGUAUCUUA